ensembl:processed_transcript
ACCAGUGUUGUGGUGACGACCGCCUGUGAGGCUUCUGUUUGGGACUAAGCAUUGUCUCUCCUGUCUGCAUCUCAUCAUCUAUGCAAGUUUACUUGUGUUUAUCUACCUACAGAGUCUGCUGGGAAAGCAUCGACCCAAACUUCCACCAUCACUGAGCGGGAAGAGAGAAUGAAGAGGUUGGAGAACCUGAUAAUUGAUCUCUAGAAGAUGAUCUGUGAGAGGGAUGAACUUCAUUCAGUCUUGACCCAUUACACCAAAAAGGACUUGAACCACAGGUCUGAAAUAGUCCGGCAGAAGAUCAAAUAGAGCAUAGACAAGUGCUCUCUCAGACAGAACUCUUCAAGGAGAGCACUGGGUGUGCAAAGCAAAUUAACCACCAUUGCAUCUCAUCCUUGUAACCAUGGCAAUCUUGGGCUGCAUUUUCUUUCUUCACUUUGGUUUACUAUUUGUGAAUAGGCCUUGGUUUUGUCUAGCCUCUGACCCAUCAAUAGUGCUUCUGGGUCCGAUUGCCUUUCCUUCUCUGACAGCACCCUUGAGAGAACUGUGGAGGGGCAAAGAAUGCCACUGACAACUUGGAGCACAACAUUCUCUGCACUAGGAUCAAAGCCUCCUGAGAAAAGGUUACCUCCUUAGAGAUGUGACCUCAACAGGGAGGCAAUUACCAACUGAUGUCUGGUAAUGCAGUCAGAAUCUGAGCCACUUGUCUGUUGGCUAACUACUCCAUGGGGAAAGAAAAUUAGAUCAAGAUACAUAAAACUAGGUACAAGAAUUACUCAGAACUCUGACACUCAACAAGUCAUACCAGCAAAGGCAUAAUAUAUAGAGAAUAGGUUGUUGGGAACGUGCUACUCUCCUAGGGGCUUUGGCAAGCUGAGUCUUCCAUAUGUGGUGGUGAAUCUGUCAUGGGAACAUGUUGAUGCCACACUCUUUUCCAAACAGAUCACACCCAAAAGCAUAUUUUUUCUCAGUUCAGUGUUGAAGGUAUUCCAUGUCACAUAUGUAUGUGAUGCUAAAGUUAAUGCUCUUCACAGAUGACAGAAAUCCCUCUCUCCUUGUGUUAGUCAUUUAUUUUUCCAUAAAGAGAACUGCUGGGUAUUCUUCAGUUUCACACCUGGAAUAGAAUGAUUUGUUUUGAAAAAACCAUUUAUAGAGGACAUCCAGGUUAUCUUUGACAUUUGGGGGCAGGAGGAUGCUCCCUCUGCAUUUGUUGUGUCUAGAAUAAGCACACACAGACAUAGGUUGACUGAAUCAUGUAGUGGCCAACACAUUACAGGAUUAUCCUGCUAUGGACUUUAUUCUUUAUCACAGAUCAAAGGCUUUGCAUGAAACCCUGUGAAUAUUAUGCCAGAAGUAGGUGAUAGGUUUUCAGGCACUAUCCAUUAGGGCCUCAAAGAAUGAUCUAGAAACUCACACAUAAUGAUAAGCCUGUGGCCAAUAGGAACUAUAUAUCAUUUAGCUGGCAAACUAGAUAUUAUGAUGUUCAAGGGCUAUGUGGAGUGUUGUUAGAUAAUGUGAAAUCAGCUAAAAAAGUGUAUACAAUAUGCCAACUGAAAAUUAUCCAGAGGCUGUGUGGUGACUUUCAUCCUGCACAGAGGUUGACUCUCAGCUUCAUAGAUUCUGAGGAGAUCCAGCUGAGUAUUGAUGAAAGCUACACUGGAAUCUUUUAUUCAAUUUUACUGUUUUUUACUUACUCAUUUACACCCUGUUCACUGCUCCUCCUUUCAGUUAACUCCUCCCAUAAUCCCUCCCCCUCCCCUUCUCAGAGUGGAGGGAGAGCCUGUGUAUGCCCCCUACCCUGGCACUGCAAGUCUCUUUGAGGCCAGACAAGGCAGCUUAGCUAGUAGAACAUAUCUCACUUACUAGCAACAACUUUUGGGAUAGCUAAUACUCCAGAUUUUUUAGGACUCACAUGAAGACCAAGCUGCACAUCUGCUACACAUCUGGGAGGCCUAGGUGCAGCCUGUGUGUGUUCUUUGGUUGAUGGCUCAGACUCUGAGAGACCCAAGGGUCCAGUUGAGUUGACUCUGUUAGACUUCUUGUGGAGUUCCUAUCCCCUUUGGGCCCUGAAAUUCUUCCUCCUAUUCUUAAGAGUCCACAAGCUCCAUCCACUGUUUGGCUGUGGGUGUCUGUAUCUGAGUCAGCUGCUGGGUGGAGCCUCUCAGAGAACAACAUGCUCCUGUCUGCAAACAUAACAAAGUAUCAUUAAUAGUGUUAUCUAUAAUGAUAGUGUUAUACUGUCUGUCCAUGGGAUGGGUCUCAAGUUGGGUUGCUUAUUGUUUGGAUAUUCCCUCAGUCUGCUCCCUCCCCUGAGCCUGCAUUACUUGUAGACAGGAUAAACUUUGGAUUGAACAUUUUAUGGGUGGGUUGGUGUCUCUAUCAAUCCACUGGGGUUCCUGUCUAGCUACAGAAGGUGACCUUUUCAGUUUCCAAUAUAAUGAGUCACAGAUAAGGUCACUCCCUUUGAUUCUUGGGUGCCUCCCUUAUCCCAGGUCUCUAUUUCUUGCCUGGAGCUGCCCCCCACCUCCUCACCCUCAUCAUUUGCAGAUUUCCAUUCAUUUUUGUGGUCAUCUAGCCAUCUCUCCUGUUCUUCACUACACCUGAUCCUGAAUUCCCCAUUUCCCUCCCUUUUCUUUCUUCCUUCCAAUUCCCUCCCUGAGCAGCCUGCCAUCCCAGGGGACUUCCAUUCUCCUGCUGCCUCUCCUCUACCUCCAUCAGACUCCUGAACCAUACAGUUUUUAGAAAAAUCAACACUUGCUGAGUUUUUGGAAAAAAUAGAGUCCGAGGAUCCCAUAAACUGUUCAAUAUGAAGCCCUAAUUCCAGUGGAAAGAAUAAUGGUGAAUUUUACGUGGUUAAUCUGUACCGAGAGGUUUCAGCAAAUGGUGUAAUUUGAGGUAAUUUGGUGUUAAAGAAGCAUGUGAAAGAUUAGUGCUAACUUUGAAGAUGUAUGCUCCUAAAAUAUGCAGCAUGAGUUACCAAAGACUGAUCUAGACACCCAUCUAUAGCCUAUAAACCACUGACUUGAUCUCUGUUGUGUGUGGCAUUCAGGAUUUAUCCAGGAUAUGAAGUGUAUACUCCACAAGUAAGCUAAAUCCAGUGUCAAUGAAAGAAUUUAUGAUUCAUAUUCCUCUCUUGAUAAAACAUUCUAUGAAUGGUGGCUGCUUACAUUUUAAAAUUUAAGAAUGACCUGAAAACACUAACAGUUGAAUCUCACUGUGUAAACACAUUUCGGAGAUGUCUACUGGCUCCAUUUUGACCCCGUGUGCCUGCAGUUGCUCAGUUCUAAGGCUGUGAGAUUAUACCAGGCCAUUCUUGCAUAUAACUGUCUAGGGACAGGAAGAGCUUUGAGAAUUCUUAAAGUUGAGAAUCUAAGAAUCUUCACUGUAAGAAGCUUAAAGUGAAAAGCACAGACUUGGGAAUGGACAAAGCCUUCAGUUCAUAAAACUGAGCAGCCAGUUCAGAGCCAAGGAGAACUCUAUCCAGACAAGCACUGUUAUGUGCAGGAUAUGUUAGUAAAAAAAAAAAAAAGCUGCAGCCUUCAGGAAGACUUUUGGUGCUAGAAAUUGCAUGCUACAAAAUUUUGAUACAUAUCAAGAAAAUAGCUUUGAAAUGAUUAUCUCCUUAGGAGUGGAAAGAUUUGAACUGAGUAGAUGCUGUGGCCCUGGUAGAAAAGGGAAGUGAGUUUUCACACAGAGAUAAGAAUUGCCCUCUUGCUGAAUAUGCACUUGAGUGGGACUCAGUGAAGUGCUGAGGCACAAGAGCUGCUGGGCAUCCAGGAGGAAUCUGAGAGUGUACAUUGUUGCUUGUCCUGAUGGGUCAUCAAGAGAAUUUAAAAGACUUUGAGCUAAAGCAUGUAACAUGUCUCAUGCUUAGUCUUGGCAGACCUUAUUCUUGGACCCUACACCCCAUCCAGGAAGCAUGUUGUAUUCAUCUUAAGAGUAUUGCCAUUAGUGACUGCAUUUCUGUUAUGUUUCCAAGGCAAGCCACAGGCUGUAGGUCUGUGCUGCUAAAUCUGCAGCAAGAGAAUAAUGCUUAGCUUAAUCAUUUUUGGGGGGGGUGGUGGUGGUGCUUGGUUUGAGGUUUUGUUAUUUGUUUUUGUUUUUUGUUUUUUUUGUUUUUUUUUUUUUGUUGUUGUUCUUGUAAUUGAUUUGCUUUGGUUCUAGGGCACUGCAAGUAUUGACUGCCCCCAUUUAAGCCCUACUGAGUGAAAUGAAUGUAUUUUUAUAAAUAAAAAAGUUAUCUCC